AUGAUGUGAUAAAUAUGUGUUCAGUUAUAUAUUUAGAUUAUUUUAUGGGUGAAUAAACCCUUGAUGCUUAUUACAGCUUAGAAAAUUUUAAAUUUUGACUUACUGACCUCUUGGUAGACACUCUAACUAAAUGUAUCAUUAAGAAUUAAUCUUCUCUAUUCUGGGAUUAAAGAAAAAUUAUAUGAUUAUAGUCAUUACAUGUUUAUAAUCACUGUUAACUUUCCACUGCAAUAAAGUUUCUCAUUCAAACUUUUUAUUCUUUCACGGGAAUGGACAGCAGGUGAAUGUAUACCAGAAUUUUUUUCUGAUCCUCUGAUUUUUAAUUCUAUUCACUCAGACUUAAAUGAUCUUGGCAUUCCAUGGUGUGAUAGUCCAGAAGAUUUUGUGGCAAAGCAUAGAAAUGCUUUAGAAAGUUCUCAUGUAUCUGAGUCGCUUCAUCACUGGAUGGAUUUAACUUUUGGUUGUAUAGUGUCUGACACAAAAGAGAGUGGUGAUGAGGAAACACAAGUCCAGCUUUUUUAAAACAUUUAGAUCAAAAUCUUCAUCUGAUCGCUCAGAAUCUUGACCGGAAAACCAAAUUAUUGUUUUACCCAAGGAUCCAUUAUCUUCCCAUCUUGAAGCUCUGCAUACUUUUCUAUCUUGGUUUGAUGGAGAAUAUCAUAAUUUUAAUGAAUUUAAGGUCAGUCUUUAAGUACCGAUUCAAACACUGAAAAGGGUUUAUUAUAUACUUUUUAAAUUAAAGGGUUCAUUAACAUUAUAAGUUGAAAAAAUUCACCUUUUCAUGUUUUUAUGCUUCCCUUAAUUGGCUCGUAAAACAGGUAUGUCAUUAGGAAACGUGGCUUAGCAUGCAUUCCCUAAAAAUGUUUGGUUAUUGCUUAAAGCUCAUUCUAGAUCUGGUGUUAACUUUAAAACUAACGUAAUUUAUUCUUCCUUAUUGAUGCUACAGCCCAGGGUGAACCUUAUCCUGUUGCACAAUAUUUUGCCAAUCAGCUCUGUCCCUGACCUUGAUCUUCCAGUAGGAGAUCUUGAAUGUUUUGAAAUCAUCCAUCUUUUCUUCUGUCUCUCUCUUGGCCUAAUGUAAUGAAAUUCAAACAAUGUAUUUUUAUUGUUUGAUAAUAUAAUCUCUGUUAUUCUGCUAUACAGUUUUCCAUCUAGGCAUAAGCAUUGUCAUGAAUGAAAAUAUUUAUUUAACAGAAGAUUGUUCUCUAUAUUUAUUUAACAGAAACAUUUCGCCAUGCUGUAGUUGGUUAAAAUGAAUUAUUUAGUUUGUCUUCUUAAUGUACCUUAAAAAAUUAAAAGAGUUGUCCAGCUUUUGCAACCAGGUUCUUAAUCUUCAUCCUCUUUUUUCACUGUUCUUAAGUGCUGAAUGUUGUUUUAUUUCAUGCUAUUACUUGAUUAAAACUUAUUUUAUAUAGGAUGAUGAUUGGGUUAUGAAUGUUAAGUUUCUUGCAAUAUACUCAGUUGCAGGGAACUUUUUCCGUUUUCUUCCUCUGUAGCACUCACAUUACUAGCAUAAAUCUCCAAUAGUUGUCUUGAUUUAACUUCUAGUAUAAAAGCACCCUGCAAAAAUUUAUCAAAAAAUUUUGAACAGUUUGUAGUGUCAAAUCACUGUCUAAAUAAACUGCCAAAUUCCUCUCGUGUGUAGUUACAUUACUCACACAUUUCUGAAAUUCAUAGAACAUUACAAAUUGUAAAUUAACCUUUUUAUUGUCCAUUUUUGGAACAUCAAUAUUCAAUCUUGUAGAGGCAAAGCACACUUUCCAGUACUGGCAACACAACAGCCAAACAAAAAAGUGUCCACAUCACCUAAUAAAAUAUACUCUAGCGCCAUCUCUGAGCACCGGACAAAAACUUUUUAAAUGACCUCACACACACAUACUCAUAUAUAUCUAUUAUAUAUAUAUAUGACAGUGGCGUGAAAAUUUUGGGUGGUCAUCGCAAUUAUUUAAGCUUGUGGUGAAAAAUUAUUAACUCUAAAAUGCAAUGGUUGAAUGUUCAAAAAAGAAACUUGAAAUCUUACCUUCACUUAUAAAUGAACUCCAGCCUUCUUGUUUUUGAAGCGAAUUUGUUAGUGAUUUUGAUGUAGAAGUCUUCCUUCUCCUUUAAAGACAGCAACAGUUCCUUUUCAAUGUACAACAAAACCAAAUUACUGAGCCUGUCUUCUGUUUGUGUGGACCUCUUGCAUGUAUGAAUCCUUUUAAGGGCGGAAAAACUCCUUUCUACUGGUGCUAUUGUUGCAGGAAUGGUCGAAAUUAAUUUGGAGAGUUUAAAACUUUCCUUGAAAGAACAGUGUAAAUUUUCUUCUUUCAGAAAUUUUAUUAGUUCUUGUGGGCAUUUGUCGUUAAAUGUAGAAGUCCAGUAAAAUACAAUCAGUUCAUUUUUCCACCCUGUCAUAUCAAAGGUUUGUGGAUAUAAUUCUCCUAGAUUAGUUAAAAGUUGUUCAGGGAAGCUAUUUUUUUCUGAAAAAUUCUUGGAACUGUUUAGGAUUUAGUAAAUCAAAGAAUGCCAGUUUUUUUCAGAGAAGAAAACCGGCUGCAUAAGUGGCUAAGUAAAUUAUCUGUUGCUUCAUAAAACAGCUUUCUAUAUAGUUGCUCUAAAGUCAGAGAACUUUCGUUGUUAGCAUGAACUUUUCUUUUUCUUUUCAGUAAUCCUGCCACUGAAACAGUUUUUUUUCCCAAAUUAUGGGAAAUCCGAUAAUGUCACUUUCUUGCAUUCUCCAAGACUUCUUGAAAGUCUCUGAUAACAUUUAAGCAGGACAAUAUAUUGAUACUGUCUGCCUGCAACAUUUGAAAUAAUAAAUCUGUUCGGGUAAACUCGAACUUCUUCAAAAACAAGGAGUACCCAUUGGCAACACAGCGAUCUGGACCAUCCCAGGUAUCAUCAGAACUUUCAUAAUUGCUUUUAAAAAAAUCAAUAAUUUGUUCACGGUACUGUUCUACCGUAUUCACCAGUCUUGAGGUAAAGCGCCAUCUUGUAGUAGCAAA